rnacentral:rRNA from 1 species
CAGGCCUAACACAUGCAAGUCGAACGGCAGCGCGGACUUCGGUCUGGCGGCGAGUGGCAAACGGGUGCGGAACACGUACGCAACAUACCCUGAACUGGGGGAUAGCCUUUCGAAAGGAAGAUUAAUACCCCAUAAGAUUAUAAGGUGGCAUCACCUAGUAAUUAAAGAUUUAUUGGUUCGGGAUUGGCGUGCGUCCUAUUAGCUAGUAGGUGGGGUAACGGCCCACCUAGGCAACGAUAGGUAGCUGGUGUGAGAGCACGACCAGCCACACGGGCACUGAGACACGGGCCCGACUCCUACGGGAGGCAGCAGUGAGGAAUAUUGGUCAAUGGGCGAGAGCCUGAACCAGCCAUGCCGCGUGAGGGAUGAAGGCGUUCUGCGUCGUAAACCUCUUUUGUUGGGGAAGAAAAGGGAACUUUCUAGUUCUUCCGACGGUACCCAAAGAAUAAGCACCGGCUAACUCCGUGCCAGCAGCCGCGGUAAU